rnacentral:tRNA from 1 species
CCUGGUGGCUCAGAAGGUAAAGAAUCUGCCUGCAAUGCAGGAGACCCAGGUUCAAUUUCCUGGGUCAGGA